GCAGGAAAUUUGAGAGGAGCUGUCCUUAGUACGAGAGGACCGGGAUGGACGUACCGCUGGUGCACCAGUUGUUCCGCCAGGAGCAUGGCUGGGUAGCUACGUACGGACGGGAUAAGCGCUGAAAGCAUCUAAGCGUGAAGCCCCCCUCAAGAUGAGAUUUCCCAAGUUAGUAAGACCCCUUGAAGACGACGAGGUAGAUAGGUUGGAGGUGGAAGUGCAGCAAAGCAUGGAGCUGACCAAUACUAAUCGGUCGAGGGCUUAUCCA
rnacentral:rRNA from 1 species